rnacentral:rRNA from 1 species
AUUGAACGCUGGCGGCAUGCUUCACACAUGCCAGUCGAACGGCAGCGCCGGCUUCGGCCUGGCGGCGAUUGGCGAACGGUUGAGUAAUGCCUCGGAACGUGCCCAGUAGUGGGGGAUAGCCCGGCGAAAGCCGGAUUAAUACCCCAUACGACCUGUGGUUGACAGCGGGGGGCCGAAAGGCCUCUCGCUUUUUUAGCGGCCUAUGUCGGUUUAGCUAGUUGGUGGGGUAACGGCUUAACAAGGCGACGAUCCGUAGCUGGUCUGAGAGGACGACCAGCCAGACUGGGAGUGAGACACGGCCCAGACUCCUACGGGAGGCAGCAGUGGGGAAUUUUGGACAAUGGGGGCAAGGCUGAUACAGCAAUGCCGCGUGAGGGAAGAAGGACUUCGGGUUGUAAACCGCUGUUGUUCGGGAAGAAAUCAUGUGGGCUAAUACCCCGGGGGGAUGACGGUACCGGAAGAAUAAGCACCGGCUAACUACGUG